ACAGUCGAGCCUUUGAAACUAUAUUUUUGCAAGAAAAGGGCUACCCAAACAUCCGUUUGGCUGUCCAGUCACUUCCCUGGCAGCCGAUUGCCUAUUGGUUAUUUUCAACCCUAUCUUAUCCACAUCUCAUCUGAACCUCUGAUAAGUCUCCUCAAUUGAUUUUUAUUUUUUUCCCAAACAAAUAAAGAAGCUCAUGUUUACGUAUUCUUUUUCCACCACUGGAUCACUUAUGAUCAAUUUCUGUCCUUGGACAAAGCCAAUCCCUGAUUUUCUAUAAACAAGGAUAGGUCAGUUGCACACGCAUGGUAAUUGGGGCGGCUUGGAGGGAGUUUCUAAAUCUAAAGACAGAGUGAUAAAUAAACAAGGAGGAAUUUUGUCAGAUUGAAGGCCCAAAUAACUCAAAUCGAGGCUCCAAGUGUGAUGAGGAUAAUGGCCCUUGGACCCCUUUUUCACAGUAUCAAAAAAUGGAGAUUGGUCACAAUACAGGAAAAGCAAGAUUGAGUAUGGGAUCUAUCCAAUGUUCAGCAUAUUUAAAUUUUGCAGGCUCCAAGUGUGAAGAGGGUCAUGGCCCUUGGACCCCUUUCACAGUAUCAGAAAAUGGAGAUUGUGCAAUCAAGGUUAAGCAAGACUGGAAACUAGUUGGGAGCCAGCUGUCAAGGGUUUUACAAGUUGGAUCAUGAAGCAUUCAAUAAAGAAGGAAUUUUAGUUUUCAUCUGGACAAAUCUUACAACUCUUAUUUUCUAGAAUUGUUCAACUACCUCAUCAAACUAUGGAUUCUGCAUAAAUUUUGUGCUGUUGAAAAAUCUUUUCCUUCAAA